GACCUCGGAUCAGGUAGGAAUACCCGCUGAACUUAAGCAUAUAU
rnacentral:rRNA from 1 species